CUGGUGCAGUUCUGCAGAUAAAAGAAAAAUUGUCUUGUAAUACACUAAACAUGGGAGAUCCCUGGUUGAAGAAACAGCUGCUACUGCUGAGACAACUGAUAUAGUUGUACUUGUUUUUGUAGAUUUCCAGAAAUACAACUUGAGCAAAGCCAAGACAGAAUGAAAACAAAAGAAGGAGAUACCUUACUAGACUUCUUAUCAUUCAUCUGUCAAUAUAAAAGAUACAAAAACUGGAAGACAGCAAAGACCAGGAAGUCUUAGGACGGUGCUGUAGAACUGCAAUGAAAUAAAUAAAUAUGAAAGCUUU